rnacentral:rRNA from 1 species
GGAUCAAUUUAUUGGUCGUGCUAUUGUACGUACUGGUAUUAUUGAUUCCUACCUUCUGACGAACCAUGAUGUCAUUAAUUUGGUGUCAUGGGGAAUCAGGACUGUUACUUUGAAAAAAUUAGAGUGUUCAAAGCAGGCGUAACCUUGCCAUUGAAUAUUACAGCAUGGGAUAAUAGAAUA